CCUGGUGGUUAUUGCGAGGGGCCUGCACCCGAUCCCAUCUCGAACUCGGCCGUUAAAUCCCUCAGCGCCAAUGGUACUAUGUCCUAAGGCAUGGAAGAGUAGGACGCUGCCAGGC
rnacentral:rRNA from 2 species